rnacentral:rRNA from 1 species
ACGGGACCCGCACAAGCGGUGGAUGAUGUGGAUUAAUUCGAUGCAACGCGAAAACCUUACUACCCUUGACAUGUCUGGAACCUUGGUGAGAGCCGAGGGUGCCUUCGGGAGCCAGAACACAGGUGCUGCAUGGCUGUCGUCAGCUCGUGUCGUGAGAUGUUGGGUUAAGUCCCGCAACGAGCGCAACCCUUGUCACUAGUUGCCAUCAUUUGGUUGGGCACUCUAGUGAGACUGCCGGUGACAAACCGGAGGAAGGUGGGGAUGACGUCAAGUCCUCAUGGCCCUUAUGGGUAGGGCUUCACACGUCAUACAAUGGUCGGUACAGAGGGUUGCCAAGCCGCGAGGUGGAGCCAAUCCCUUAAAGCCGAUCGUAGUCCGGAUCGUAGUCUGCAACUCGACUGCGUGAAGUCGGAAUCGCUAGUAAUCGUGGAUCAGCAUGUCACGGUGAAUACGUUCCCGGGUCUU